AACGAACGCUGGCGGCAUGCCUAACACAUGCAAGUCGAACGAAGCCUUCGGGCUUAGUGGCGCACGGGUGCGUAACGCGUGGGAAUCUGCCCUUGGGUUCGGAAUAACAGUUAGAAAUGACUGCUAAUACCGAAUGAUGUCUUCGGACCAAAGAUUUAUCGCCCAAGGAUGAGCCCGCGUCGGAUUAGCUAGUUGGUGAGGUAAAGGCUCACCAAGGCGACGAUCCGUAGCUGGUCUGAGAGGAUGAUCAGCCACACUGGGACUGAGACACGGCCCAGACUCCUACGGGAGGCAGCAGUGGGGAAUAUUGGACAAUGGCGAAAGCCUGAUCCAGCAAUGCCGCGUGAGUGAUGAAGGCCUUAGGGUUGUAAAGCUCUUUUACCCGGGUAUGAUAAUGACAGUACCGGGAGAAUAAGCCCCGGCCUAACUCCGUGCCAGCAGCCGCGGUAAU
rnacentral:rRNA from 1 species